rnacentral:lncRNA from 1 species
AGUAACACUCUGGGAGGGCUCAGGCCACAUCACGAAAUGUGACAGGAUAGCCUUGAACUCAUCAAUUGCUGGGGGCACCUCAAACUCAACUCCAAAAUUGAUCUAAUGAACUUUCCCAAACCACAUUCCCUUCUUGCAUUUCUGAGAGAAUGGAUUCCCAUUCAUCUGACUACAGUGCUACCCUGAAAGCAGAUCCAGAGACUAAGAUUCACCUGCAGGUGAUUCAUUUGCAAGGUAAGCUGUCAUCAGUUGGAGGUAAGCAGAAGACAGUAGAGAGUACAGAGCCCUGGACUGUGACUCAGAGGAUGAGCACCAGAUCCAGUUUGCUGUGCCACAGUGGGCCUGUGAUAUUUUGAAGCAGGAAGCUGACCUGAGACCUUCAGAAUAAACUGAUCACUGUGGAUAAUGAAAAGGCCCCACCCAGGACAUUGAUUGAGCACCCCUGCCUGUCUCAUUCCUUCUUCUCUUUCUUUUUAUUAUGUGCUUACCAUAAUAAAAAUUUUUAUUGUCUUUA